AUCCCCUCCUCCUGUGUGUAUAAAAAGUGUUCCCAGUCCCAAGUUCUCUGUCUGCUGUUAAAUGUCUUCCUGAGUUUGUCUCCCGUGGUUCCUGAAAAUAAAUUCUUGGUAAAAAUAUUCUCCAGCGUUUGAAACAAUUAAA